AUGACCCUAUGUAUAGAGAAGAGAGAAUAAAUCUCAUCCCUAGAUUUUAAAAAAUCGUGCGGUUGAUAUAUAAUCUGCAGAAAAUUAGGAAUUUGCAAUUAAUCUGUUCGAAUUUAUUUUGUAAAUGGAAUGAGGGUAGUUGGGUAAAAUCCAAUAUAGUAAAUAAGGUAGUUCCGUUUUUUACUCCUAUCUACCGCAUCCAUUAGAAGAUUUGAACAGUCACCACCAUUCCACUUCGUCUCCCACGAUUCUCACGGAAGCUAGGGUUUCUCUGUAGCAGAUUUCGACGCCGCCAGGUAAUUAAGGUCUCGUUUCAAGUUUUUUUUUUUUCGCAUUCAGCCGGCGACUUGUUCAAAAAUACUGAGGGAAUUUUGAUUUUCGAACAUUGUUCUGUUUGUGGUUUAUUUUGCUGAAAUCGAACGGGUAUGUGUAAGGUUUUGCGAUUUUUUUUGGCUAUCCAUGAUAUGUUUUAGGGAUUUUUGGAUUUUAUGUUUUGAACCCUAAACCCUAAAGGUUUUGGAUUUUAUGUUUUGAACAAUUGAUUUUCGCUGAACCUUUUGUGAAAAGUUGAAGUCGUUCGCAUGAGAUGUUGGGCUCUGUUCUUUUUUCUGAUGUAAGUAUUAUGGUGACACAUUCGUUUAGUUGUGUGCGUCUGUUCUUUUUUCUGAUAUGGUCUGUUCGUUUAUUGAUAUAUGUUUAACUCUUUUUAAUUUGUCGAAGAUUGAUGUUAUCGGUGGAAUCAAGCAUAUGUUGGUGUCGUUUAUUUGUAUGAAUCUGUUCUUUUACUGUUGAUUUUGAUUUUGAUUUUCUGUUUCGAACAACUGAUUGUUGUUGACGAUGAAGAAAUUGUUGGGAAAUUUGAAAGUCUUUUGAGAUUAUGAGAUUUCAGAUAUUGGGAUUUCAGUUUUUGAAUAUGAUUUUCUGUUUCACUUGUUUUUGCAUACUGUGUUCGCCGAUUUGAAUCACGUUUGGUGGAUCUAAAUAAUCAAGGUAUUGUGUUUCGAAUUUUUUUUGGAUUUUCUAUCUCAUUUUUCAAAUAGGGUUUAUGAUUGUGGUUAUAUUGUUUAAUAUAUGCAUUUGUAUUGACUGGAUGAUGGAACUUUUUUAUGCUAAAUUUUGAACUAUUCUUGAACAGAUUUGGUCCACCUUGUUUAAUUAUCAGGUUGUUUUAUAGUUUUAGUGAAUUUGUGUGUUUGGCGUUAGUUUUUACAUGGAAAUCACUUCAAAAUCAUUGCCUCCACAGCCGGCGAUGUACCCCUCAAGGCCUGCAGGAAGAGGUGCAAGAAUAGGGCCUACGCGCUUGGAUGUGGCGUCUCGCCGCGGAGCAACCAGAGAUCAAGACGGAGGCUAGAUUAUGACGAGAGGGAGAUUGCUGCAGGAGACGAAAUAUUAGCCAAGUCGAUGUACCGAAUCCUCCUCCAAUGGCAGCAGCAAUCAGCCUCCGCAAAGGGGACACCCUAAAUUGCAAGCCUGCUAUUGAAAGUGAAGGUGCUGGAAACAACUAGGAGUAGUUAUAAGAAUAAUUUGUUCAUUGAAAAAAUAUGUGUUGUUCAUUUAAAAUUUGUGAUCUGUUUAUUUACAAAGUAUGUUCUGUUCAUUUAGAAAUUGUAAUUUGUUCAUUUACAAAUUGUGAUUCUCCGUUACCACACGUUCGAAAUAUUUAUCUGAGUGUUCAAUUUAUUCUUUAUAUUUGUUCAAAAUGUUUAUUGUAUUAUUUGAUAAACAUCUUAUUUUUUUC
rnacentral:lncRNA from 1 species